rnacentral:rRNA from 1 species
AACGAACGCUGGCGGCAUGCCUAACACAUGCAAGUCGAACGCCUGUAGCAAUACAGGAGUGGCAGACGGGUGCAUAACACGUGGGAACCUACCCUUGGGUUCGGAAUAACCGCGGGAAACUGCGGCUAAUACCGGAUACGUCCUCUGGGAGAAAGAUUCAUCGCCCUUGGAGGGGCCCGCGUCGGAUUAGCUAGUUGGUGAGGUAACGGCUCACCAAGGCGACGAUCCGUAGCUGAUCUGAGAGGAUGAUCAGCCACACUGGAACUGAGACACGGUCCAGACUCCUACGGGAGGCAGCAGUGGGGAAUAUUGGACAAUGGGCGCAAGCCUGAUCCAGCAAUGCCGCGUGCAGGAAGAAGGCC